rnacentral:rRNA from 1 species
AGUGAACGCUGGCGGUAGGCCUAACACAUGCAAGUCGAACGGCAGCACAGUAAGAGCUUCUCUUACGGGUGGCGAGUGGCGGACGGGUGAGGAAUACAUCGGAAUCUACUUUUUCGUGGGGGAUAACGUAGGGAAACUUACGCUAAUACCGCAUACGACCUACGGGUGAAAGCAGGGGAUCUUCGGACCUUGCGCGAUUGAAUGAGCCGAUGUCGGAUUAGCUAGUUGGCGGGGUAAAGGCCCACCAAGGCGACGAUCCGUAGCUGGUCUGAGAGGAUGAUCAGCCACACUGGAACUGAGACACGGUCCAGACUCCUACGGGAGGCAGCAGUGGGGAAUAUUGGACAAUGGGCGCAAGCCUGAUCCAGCCAUACCGCGUGGGUGAAGAAGGCCUUCGGGUUGUAAAGCCCUUUUGUUGGGAAAGAAAAGCAGUAGGUUAAUACCCCGCUGUUCUGACGGUACCCAAAGAAUAAGCACCGGCUAACUUCGUG